GAGUCUGGCUUACUGAGAGUAUUUUUUUCUCCAUAUUUUUGUUACCAUAAGAAAUCAAGUUAUUAAAUCAUGAUAGAAAGUAUUUAUGCGUGUGCGCGCGCUCGUGUGUGUGUAUGAGAGAGAGAGAGAGGAGUCUACUCAUUCCCUUAUUUUCAAAGCAAUAGAAAGUUGAAUGGGAAUGACAAGUUUCUAGUAACAAAGUUUAGAUAUCAGGAUACGGUCCGUCUUUUUGUUGUCUACGACUGAGUAUUUUUUUUCUUCAUAUUUUUGCUACCAUAAGAAAUCAAGGUAUUAAAUCUUGAUAAAAGUAUUUAUGUGCGCAUGUGUGUGUGUGAGAGAGAGAGAGAGAGAGGAGUCUACUCAUUCCCUUAUUUUCAAAGGAAUAGGAAGUUGAACAACUUUAAAUAAUUGAAUUUUCCUGAAUAUGCACGUAAUACUUCACUUGUCUCAUGCAACACAGAAAACUGACAUACAAGGUUGCAGAUUUCUAGGGUGACUGUUAGGGCAAAGGAAGCAAUUUUAAGCAGUCGGUGUUUCCGUGAGGAGAGUGUACUACACAAUUGGUGAGGGAACUGCUCAAGCCGAGUUGGUUUGAGAAGAAGGGCAGGUUGUUUGCCAGAGCAGAAAGGCCUCCCCCUAACAAAAGACAAAGUGUGUGUGGAAAAGAAUCUGUUAUUACGUACGUAAGAAAUAUAAAUUUUGGAAUAACAAUUUGUUAUAAAAAUCAAAUCUGAUUUUUAGAACGUGCCGAUUUCAGAAGUAUAAUCUGAAAAACAAUGAAGAUCGAGGCUUGUGUUUGACACAAUAUCCUUAAAACAAAAUUCGCUCUCGCUGGUGCUAUGAGUUGAUCGGCUUAUGUCUCCCAGAAUCCAACGAUCUACUUAAAAUCAAAACACUUCAAAUUUCAAGUCUGGCGAACCAAAUUUAUGUAUCAAACUCUCUCUUAGAACGAAAAAUAAAUGAUCAAUAUGAGAAUUUGCAGAAGUACUUUUUUUACAUAUGUAGAAAAAUUCAGUGACUUAAACUGCUGGAGGAAUCUGAUAUUUAUAAGGAAUUAAGUGGCUGUUGGAAGAGAUGCAACUCUUCAGAAAGGAGGCAAUCUUUCAGGAAUUUAUUCGUUUAAAAUUUAAACUUGAAGGACUAAAAUGAACAGUUGCAAUAGUUCAGGGUUCAACUGAAGGAUGCUUAUUCAUACUAAUUUGAAAGACGCACUGUUCGGGACCUGAUCUGGAAGUCAACAACAUUCGGGGUGACAAACUAAACUGCAAUUUACAUAAAUUUAUUUAUUAAAAUAAACCACUAAAAUUUUUCUAUAAAAAAUAUAAAUAGGAUCGGCCUACCACCCCCCACAACCCGAACCAAGGAGCCAGCCCACGGCCCGGUCCCGUGCAGGCUGUGCGCGCAGCGCGCGGUGUGUGGAAUUUUAGCCCAAUCCACAAGUCCAUAGUUUAGGUCCAAGCCCAUCCCAUAACUACUCCCCUCCUUCAAAAACUUGGUACCCUUGUGGCCCACCCAAGGAGUGAGAAUUUGUUGCCUUUUAAAGUGUUUUAACAACUCCAACAACUUUAUCCUCCAAUGUGGGGACCAACUCCAACACAUCAAGUACAACCAAGUUUAACUCUUUCAGUAACCAUUUUGAUAUCAAUUUCUCAGUCAAAUUGUAAUAAUUUUUUAACAACCAAAUACCGAUAUUUAUCUCCACAUAUAGGACAACACAUUGCACUUGAACCGCUCAAAAUAUUGACGGAACCAAUUAUUUUUUGCUUGAACUUAGCCAAAAAAUUCCGAGUUGAAAACUCAUUUUUUUCAACAAUCCCCCCACAUGAAUGAAAUUGACAGAAAUAGACCAUGCAGCAAUAUCAAAAUAUCGAAAGAUACUUCAAUUGAAAGAAAUCCUGUAAAGGAUGUGUUAUGCAUUAGCCUUGAACCUUCCUGUAAAAUCUAUCGGCUUUACUAGCUAAUCAGAAUAGACGUGAUGCCUUGAACUGCUCAGUCCGUUGAUGUAAACCAAACAAUAGAGUUCACACACAUAAUUUCUCUGACAUAAACCCUGAUUCUCUUAGUUGUGUUCAUUUUGGCCCUUAAACAUUUUCUGGUGUCUUCUUGAGUGCGCUAGAGAAAUUUAAGCUUAAGUCGUUCUCACGAACCGGCCCCAGUUCACACUCAUAUAGGUGGAUUCCCUUAAGAGUAUCCGCUAUACUCCACUUGACUUAAUCAAGGUAGAAAGAAUCAUAAAGCAUAGCUUAACCUUUCUCCACUAUGCAACGUCCUAGUUUCUUUCCUUCAUCAGGAAAUAAGGGUAGAAGAUAUACUCUUAGUGUACCGCCAGGUGAGUCAACACAUAAUUUCGAUCGAUUGGGGGGGCCUUUGAACACUAGAUCUUGGAUCUCCAGUCACUUAGGUAGAGUUGCUAUUAUUGUGACUCCAAUAUAGUAGGCGUUAGCCCUAUUCCCCUCGAUAAUAUACACUUGCCUCGCUAGACAAUCCUUAGUUAAUGGAUCCGCUAUAUUGUCCUAGAUUCCAACUCGAUAAAAUUAGGGUCCCUUGAAAGCAUGUUUAAGGUGUUAUGGAUGUCUACGACCGAAUGUGUCGAGAUUUACCGUUAUACAUGUUACUCUGUCUCUGCCUAUUGCUUGAGUUACUAUCAUAAUGUAUGCAUUGUAAGCACAGGUUUAAGCCACAUUGGAAUGUCUUCUAGGAAAUGAUGAAACCAUUCUGCUUCUUUCCCCUGCUUUAUCUAAAUCGAAUAAAUUCCGUCGAUUCCAUUAAUCGACCUAGCAAUAGCAAUUUGCUUGGAUGAUUUCUAAGAUACAGUGCUCUCCGAAUAGUAAAGACAUAUCCACUUUGUGGAUUUGGAGCUUUGUAAUUUGAUUAUCCAUUAGCAUCACAAAUCCGUUUUAACACAGCAAGAGAGUAGAGGUUCAGCCCCCUAAGGCUUUUUGAGUAAUCUUAGAAUAUCUAAGGAACGCGUAUCAAAGUUUGCCAAUGAACUUUACACCAGGAUUGUGUUGUAAAUCUACUUAAUUUACUCACAGCUAUGCAAUUCAGACGCGUGCAGUUCAUUAAGUAUAAUUAGACUUCCAAUUAAUUCUGGAAUAUUCUAAUUGUGAUACAACAUUUUCUCCUUUAUUUUUUGUAUAUAUAAACUGCAUCCAUAGGUGUCCCUUUGCUGGACAUUCAUUAUACUGCCAACUUAUCAAGUUAUUUUUUCACAUGUGUUGUUUUUGUGACGGAGUACCCUUUCCGAAUAUCUUGGUAUUUUUCAUUCCAAUAUGACAUCGGCUACACCACCCCCCGUAUAUAUCUUCAUGUCAACAGCUUGUUUCAACAUUUUCUUCGUUGACAUAAUUAUUUUCAUGAUUACACCAGAUGAUGAGUAUAUCAUCAACAUAACAGAUAAACUAUUACAUACUUUUAUCUGUACUGUUUCACAUACACACAUUGUCACAUUCAUUUAUUGUGAAACCGUUUGAUAUAAUUGCACUAUCAAACUUCUCAUGCCAUUUUUUUUGGCGCUUUUUCUAAUCCAUAAAGAGAUUUAAAAUUAAUUUGCAAACUUUUGAUUCCUUUCUUGGAACCUUAACCCUGUCAAGUUGUUUCUAUGUAAAUCUCUUCACUGAUCACCAUUCAAGAAUCAGUCUUGACAUCCAUUGAUGAUUUCAAGAUAUACAAUCUGCAAUGGCAAAUUAACAUUCGUAUAGACGUUAUUCUUGUCACAGGUGAAUAGGUGUCAAAAUAAUCAAGCCUCUUCUUUUUGCCUGAAACCUUUGGUCCACAAGUCUAGCCUUGUACUUAUAUCAAUAGAUCACUGCCUUCAUUUGCCUUUUGAAUAUUCAUUUAUAUCCAAGAGAUUUUCGUUCCCUGAGGAAGAUCCACCAAUUCCCAGAUGGUUUUGUAAAUAUGGACUGUACUUCAACUAUUGAAUAGCUUUUUCCAUAAAGGAGCUUCUGAACCUGACAUAGACAUCUUGAUAUGUCUGAGGUUCAUUUUCUAACAAAUAAGUUAGAAAAUCUGUACCAAAAAAUUUGAAGUCUAAUACGUUUGCUACGUCUAGUUUCUUCAUUAUCUUUAUCCUCAUUAAUUUUGAUUACUACUCGUAUAGUAGCAUAAGUUCUUUUUAUUGAACUUAUCUCAUGUCUGUCCGUCUUAGGAAAGACUUCUUAAAAAAAAUCUCAUUCUUGAUUCAAUAAGUAUUUCUCAUGCAUAUCUAGAACUUCUGAUUUGUGUAUCGAGAACCGAUAUGCACUACUAUUAUCUGCAAUACCUACCUAUGAAUAUGCAAUCCAACAGUUUUAGAGAUCCUACUUCAUUUGCUUAUGCAUAGCCUGCAGACUUUGGUCUACACAACCCCACACUUUAAGAAUUUAUAGUUGGUGCUCGACCUUUCCAUAAUUGAAUAAUGUGUCUUAUUACUUCUUUCGGGGUAUCUUAUUAAGAUAUAGUUGGCAGAAAACACUGUUUCCCCCCACAAGUUAGGUGGUAAAACCUAACACCAUAGCAUUUAACAUUUUCUUUCAAUAUUUUAUUCUUUUCUUCCAGCAACACCAUUUUGCUGUGGAAAAUAGGGGGCGGCGGGCAGUAGUUUUGAUGUAUAAUGCCAUGUUCUUUACAGAACUCAUCAAAAGGGCAUCAUAUUCACCACCACGAUCCACUUCUUAGGGCCUUUAAAUCUUUUUGCUAAUUGAUUUUCAACAUUCAUUCUUAUAAACUUUGAACGCAUCCAAAUCUUCAUCCUUACUGUCGUAGUAAUUACCCUGACAAUACUAAGUAUUGUCAUCGAUAAAAGUAAUAAAAUACUUUUUUCGGCUUUAGUUUAUAUGGAUUGAAAUCACAAAUAUCGGAUGUAUUAAUCCCAAGUUCUUAAUUCUUAGAAUAUUUUGAAAAGACUUUUUAGUCAUUUUACGUUUUAAGCUUCAAAACCCAUACUUCACAUUUUAGAUGAUUAAAUCAUAUUUCAAACUUAAGGCAAACAAUCAUUAUCGACCAUUUGCCUUCCAUGA
rnacentral:lncRNA from 1 species